rnacentral:rRNA from 1 species
AUUGAACGCUGGCGGCAUGCCUUACACAUGCAAGUCGAACGGUAACAGGUCUUCGGAUGCUGACGAGUGGCGAACGGGUGAGUAAUACAUCGGAACGUGCCUAGUAGUGGGGGAUAACUACUCGAAAGAGUGGCUAAUACCGCAUGAGAUCUACGGAUGAAAGCGGGGGAUCGCAAGACCUUGUGCUACUAGAGCGGCCGAUGGCAGAUUAGGUAGUUGGUGGGAUAAAAGCUUACCAAGCCGACGAUCUGUAGCUGGUCUGAGAGGACGAUCAGCCACACUGGGACUGAGAAACGGCCCAGACUCCUACGGGAGUCAGCAGUGGGGAAUUUUGGACAAUGGGCGCAAGCCUGAUCCAGCAGUGCCGCGUGCAGGAUGAAGGCCUUCGGGUUGUAAACUGCUUUUGUACGGAACGAAAAGCCCCGGGUUAAUACCCUGGGGUCAUGACGGUACCGUAAGAAUAAGCACCGGCUAACUACGUGCCAGCAGCCGCGGUAA